CUUGAACGCUGGCGGAAUGCUUUACACAUGCAAGUCGAACGGCAGCACGGACUUCGGUCUGGUGGCGAGUGGCGAACGGGUGAGUAAUGUAUCGGAACGUAUCCAAUAAUGGGGGAUAACUAGUCGAAAGAUUAGCUAAUACCGCAUACGCCCUACGGGGGAAGGCUAGGGACCUUCGGGCCUGGCGUUAAUGGAGCGGCCGAUAGCUGAUUAGCUAGUUGGUGAGGUAAAAGCUCACCAAGGCGACGAUCAGUAGCUGGUCUGAGAGGACGACCAGCCACACUGGAACUGAGACACGGUCCAGACUCCUACGGGAGGCAGCAGUGGGGAAUUUUGGACAAUGGGCGAAAGCCUGAUCCAGCCAUUCCGCGUGAGUGAAGAAGGCCUUCGGGUUGUAAAGCUCUUUCGCAAGAGAAGAAAACUUACCCUCUAACAUAGGGUGAGGCUGACGGUAUCUUGAUAAGAAGCACCGGCUAACUACGUGCCAGCAGCCGCCGUAAUAC
rnacentral:rRNA from 1 species